rnacentral:rRNA from 1 species
UACGAAGGGUGCAAGCGUUACUCGGAAUUACUGGGCGUAAAGCGUGCGUAGGCGGUUCCGUAAGUCGGAUGUGAAAAAUCUGGGCUCAACCCAGUGGAGCACCCGAUACUGCGGUGACUCGAGUCCGGUAGGGGAGUGUGGAAUUCCUGGUGUAGCGGUGAAAUGCGCAGAUAUCAGGAGGAACACCGGUGGCGAAGGCGGCAUCCUGGACCAACACUGACGCUGAGGAGCGAAAGCCAGGGAAGCAAACGGG